rnacentral:rRNA from 1 species
GAGUUUGAUCCUGGCUCAGGACGAACGCUGGCGGCGUGCUUAACACAUGCAAGUCGAACGAUGAAGCCCUUCGGGGUGGAUUAGUGGCGAACGGGUGAGUAACACGUGGGCAAUCUGCCCUUCACUCUGGGACAAGCCCUGGAAACGGGGUCUAAUACCGGAUAAUACUUUCCUCCUCCUGGAGGAAGGUUGAAAGCUCCGGCGGUGAAGGAUGAGCCCGCGGCCUAUCAGCUAGUUGGUGGGGUAAUGGCCUACCAAGGCGACGACGGGUAGCCGGCCUGAGAGGGCGACCGGCCACACUGGGACUGAGACACGGCCCAGACUCCUACGGGAGGCAGCAGUGGGGAAUAUUGGACAAUGGGCGCAAGCCUGAUCCAGCCAUACCGCGUGGGUGAAGAAGGCCUUCGGUUGUAAAGCCUUUUCGUUGGGAAGAAAUACCUGUCGGUUAAUACCCGGUAGGGAUGACGGUACCCAAGAAUAAGCACCGGCUAACUUCGUGCCAGCCGCCGCCGUAA